rnacentral:rRNA from 1 species
UAGGGAAUCUUCCACAAUGGACGAAAGUCUGAUGGAGCAACGCCGCGUGAGUGAAGAAGGGUUUCGGCUCGUAAAACUCUGUUGUUAAAGAAGAACAUAUCUGAGAGUAACUGUUCAGGUAUUGACGGUAUUUACCAGAAAGCCACGGCUAACUACGCGCCAG